UGGGGUGGGGCUCAGUGGCAGAGCGCUGGCCUGGCAUGUGUGAGACACUGGGCUCGAUUCUCAGCACCACAU
rnacentral:tRNA from 1 species